GACGUAGGAGACAAACGUUAUCCGGAGUUACUGGGCGUAAAGGGCGUGUAGGCGGUCUGUUAAGUCUGGCGUGAAAGCUCUCGGCUAAACCGGGAGAGGUCGUUGGAUACUGGCAGACUAGAGGGCGGUAGAGGCGUGUGGAAUUCCGGGUGUAGUGGUGAAAUGCGUAGAGAUCCGGAGGAACACCAGUGGCGAAGGCGACACGCUGGGCCGUACCUGACGCUAAAGCGCGACAGCAUGGGGAGCAAACGGG
rnacentral:rRNA from 1 species